AACGAACGCUGGCGGCAUGCCUAACACAUGCAAGUCGAACGAGACCUUCGGGUCUAGUGGCGCACGGGUGCGUAACGCGUGGGAACCUGCCCUUAGGUUCGGCCUAACUCCCCGAAAGGGGUGCUAAUACCGGAUAAUGUCUUCGGACCAAAGAUUUAUCGCCUUUGGAUGGGCUCGCGUUGUAUUAGCUAGUUGGUAGGGUAAAAGACUACCAAGGCGAGGAUCCAUAGCUGGUCUGAGAGGAUGAUCAGCCACACUGGGACUGAGACACGGCCCAGACUCCUACGGGAGGCAGCAGUGGGGAAUAUUGGACAAUAGGCGAGAGGCUGAUACAGCAAGGCCGCGUGAGUGAUGAAGGCCUUAGAGUUGGAAAGCGCUUUUACCCGGGAUGAGAAUGACAGUACCGGGAGAAUAAGCUCCGGCUAACUCCGUG
rnacentral:rRNA from 1 species